rnacentral:rRNA from 1 species
ACGAACGCUGGCGGCGUGCUUCACCCCUGCCAGUCGCACGGAAAGGCCCUGCUUUUGUGGGGUGCUCGAGUGGCGAACGGGGGAGUAACACGUGAGUAACCUGCCCUUGACUUUGGGAUAACUUCAGGAAACUGGGGCUAAUACCGGAUAGGAGCUCCUGCUGCAUGGGGGGGGUUGGAAAGUUUCGGCGGUUGGGGAUGGACUCGCGGCUUAUCAGCUUGUUGGUGGGGUAGUGGCUUACCAAGGCUUUGACGGGUAGCCGGCCUGAGAGGGUGACCGGCCACAUUGGGACUGAGAUACGGCCCAGACUCCUACGGGAGGCAGCAGUGGGGAAUAUUGCACAAUGGGCGGAAGCCUGAUGCAGCAACGCCGCGUGCGGGAUGACGGCCUUCGGGUUGUAAACCGCUUUCGCCUGUGACGAAGCGUGAGUGACGGUAAUGGGUAAAGAAGCACCGGCUAACUACGUG